ensembl:lncRNA
GGUCACAUCCAGUAAUAAUCUAUGGAUAUCAUCAUUUAAUACUCCUAAUUGGGUUUGGCUAAGUUCUCCUGUAGAAGAGGAAGAGUUAAGAGGGCAAUUAUAUUCCUAUGGAGGUUUUUUUGUAAAGCACUUCCUGGCUGUGUGAAUACAAGAAACAGGGAAAUUAACAUUUGGCCAGGGAACAAGAAUUGCUGUAAUGCCAAAUGUUACUCCAUCUCCUUCAGUCUACAGGCUGACCUCUAAAGAUGAYGAAAGUUUGGAAAUGUGCCUUAUCACAGAUUACUCCCCUGAAAGGCUUGCACCUAAUAUGAAUGCAGGGAAGACAGAUGCUAUUGUGGAGGUGGUAACAUCUGAGAACAAACAGGAAGCAAGCUACUUGUCAACCUACUGGGCCAAGAAAAAUGAAAUGCAGUGCAGCACAAAGCACAAGGGAUUUGGAGAGCUGGAAGGCAAGGAUCCUGAAAGUGGUGCCAGCACUGUCUGUGUAACAGAAGUGUCUCAACACUUCAGGACAGAUGAGAAGCUGAACCUGCUGUCAUUCUCACAACUGGGCCUGAAAAUAAUUUUAAUGAAAGGAAUAAUUUUUAAUGUACUGAUGACAACACUUCUGUGGAAAAAAAAGAAUGAAAGUAACCAGACAGCACAGACUUGAAAUACCAAAAAAGCCUGCUGAGGUAGCUUUGCAGGAGCAUCAUGUGCAAGAAGUAACAAAUGAAUUUCUGUUGCAACAGAUAUCACUUGCUGUUUCUGUAUAUCAUGCCAGCCAUUAUAUGCUAAGUUGCUUUAUUUGUACUAUUACAAAGCUACUCAAAAAUAAGCUUAAACUCUCAGAAUUCUGCUCUCCCACAUACCCGAAUCAUUUAGCAUGGCAAUUUUUCAUGAAGCACAGAUAGCUAUUAAUUAUAGAUUGUCAAACAUCCCUGCUACUUGCAUUAAAAUGACCUGUACAAUUUCUGCUUGGGGGAAUGUUGUUGAAAGCUGCAAACUAAAUAUCUCCUGAGUGUAAAUAUUUCAUAUUUUGACAGCUUUCAUGUAUGCAUACCUUAGGGUGGACACUUCCUGCCCUGCUCUGCCAUCCCCAUCUCAGUUGCAACUGAAAAACUGAAAAACAAAGGAAGUCUCAUUCAGCGUGCUGUGCAUUGUGCCUUGCUGUCUUUUGCUAGAUCAGAGCAGGGUAUCUUUUUUUUUUUUUUUUUUUUUUACUAAGAGAUAUGCUGCUAGAUCUCCCAGAAGUCCUGAACUUUGUGAAAUUCUCGCUUCAUUAUCAUAGAAAAAAAAGUGCUCUUUAAUAUUUUUUUAAUCUGUUCUUCCUUAACAUUUCCAGAAUUUCUACCAGCUUAAUAUUUUGCUUUGUGUUUACUACAAAUACAGACUACUUUURUUCUUGUUUAGGUCUAAUAACCUUAGAUUUCCUAGUAAGUUUUUUUUUAACCAUUACAUAAAACAAUACUGAAAUAUUUACCUCUUCAUGUGUGUGCGCGCGUGUGUGUGUGCUCUGUAGAAAUAAUGCAUUCAUGUGAARUUUGCAUGCUGCUAAGUCUUGAAUUGUACUGCCAAUCACUCUGAUGUACUGACAUUUCUUCAAGCCUUUGGCAGCUGUUAAACAAUUCUUAUCAAUUUUAUUAAACUUGCUUGUCUUUUGUAUAUUUCAU